GGGUGAGUAACGCGUGGGAACCUGCCCAGUAGUAGAGAAUAACUUGGGGAAACUUAAGCUAAUACUUUAUACGUCCUUCGGGAGAAAGCUUUAUGCGCUAUUGGAUGGGCCCGCGUUAGAUUAGUUUGUUGGUGAGGUAACGGCUCACCAAGGCGACGAUCUAUAGCUGGUCUGAGAGGAUGAUCAGCCACACUGGGACUGAGACACGGCCCAGACUCCUACGGGAGGCAGCAGUGGGGAAUAUUGGACAAUGGGGGCAACCCUGAUCCAGCGAUGCCGCGUGAGUGAUGAAGGCCCUAGGGUUGUAAAACUCUUUCGUCAGGGAAGAUAAUGACGGUACCUGAAGAAGAAGAUCCGG
rnacentral:rRNA from 1 species